rnacentral:rRNA from 1 species
UGGCGGCAGUAGCGCGGUGGUCCUACCUGACCCCAUGCCGAACUCAGAAGUGAAACGCCGUAGCGCCGAUGGUAGUGUGGGGUCUCCCCAUGCGAGAGUAGGGAACUGCCA